rnacentral:rRNA from 1 species
UAGGGAAUAUUAGUAAUGGGCGAAAGCCUGAACUAGCAACGCCGCGUGUGCGAAGAAGGCCUUCGGGUUGUAAAGCACUUUUUGAGAGGAUGAGGAAGGACGGUACUCUCAGAAUAAGUCUCGGCUAACUACGUGCCAGCAGCCGCGGUAACACGUAGGAGGCGAACGUUAUCCGGAUUUACUGGGCGUAAAGCGCGUGUAGGUGGUUUGGUAAGUAGGGCGUGAAAGCUCCUGGCUCAACUGGGAGAGGCCGUUCUAAACUGCCGAACUGAGGAAGGGAGAGGGGGGGGGGAAUUCGGGUGUAGCGGUGGAAUGCGCAGAUAUCCGGAGGAACACCAGUGGCGAAAGCGGCCUCCUGGACCAUUCCUGACACUCAGACGCGAAAGCUAGGGUAGCAAACGG